AUAUCAGUAAGCGGAGGAAAAGAAACUAACAAGGAUUCCCGUAGUAACGGCGAGUGAAGUGGGAAUAGCUCAAAUUUAAAAUCUGGCCUUUGGCCCGAAUUGUAGUCUAAAGAGGUGCUAUCUUGAUAAUAUCAUGUGCGUACAAGUGUCCUGGAAUGGACCAUCACAGAGGGUGAGGAUCCCGUUUGGAUGCACAUUUUCAUCAUUAUGAGGCACUCUCUAAGAGUCGAGUUGUUUGGGAAUGCAGCUCAAAUUGGGUGGUAAACUUCAUCCAAGGCUAAAUAUUGGCAAGAGACCGAUAGCGAACAAGUACCGUGAGGGAAAGAUGAAAAGCACCUUGAAAAGGGAGUUAAACAGCGC
rnacentral:rRNA from 1 species